GCCGGGUGUGGUGGUUCACACCUGUAAUCCCAGCACUUUGGGAGGCCGAGGCGGGUGGAUCACCUGAGGUCAGGAGUUUGAGACCAGCCUGGCCAACACGGUGAAACCCCGUCUCUA
rnacentral:SRP_RNA from 2 species